AGGCUGACUACGUAAAUCGCAAAGGCUACCAUUCACUCAAUGUACAGAUGGUGUGCGAUUCUGGCUAUCGUUUUCUGAACGUGGUGGCAAAGUUGCCAGGAAGUGUGCAUGAUGCCAGGAUAUUUAGAAAUUCCUUACUUUGUCAGCAUUUAGAAAACGGAACUCUUGAUGGAUGUAUCUUGGGUGACAGUGGGUACCCCAGUAGACGUAAUGUGAUGACCCCUUACUUACAAACAAGGAACAGGGCACAGGAAAGGUA